UUAAAGUUUCUUUUGAGCCGAGUCCUCCACUCAUCCGCCACGAUCGGAUCGGAACUCCCCGUGAAGUGCUUUGUUCCCAACUUCGAGACGUGCGCGAGUAAACUCAAGUAGUCUCCCCUCUUCCUUGAAGAGUUCGUAGGCAGAUUGACUUCAACAAUCUCCACAUCUACGUCUGCAUCCGCGUCCGUUUUGUUCUCCUUCACUUGUACCAUAGGAUCCGGUACGAGUGCCUUAGUCAAUGCGGCCAUUUGUGCCAUCAUGGCCUUCAUCGUAUCCCAUUG
rnacentral:lncRNA from 1 species